rnacentral:rRNA from 1 species
AUCGAUCCUCUCGUCUUUGGGAAUUUCAAGCUAGAGGGGUCAGAAAAGUUACCACAGGGAUAACUGGCUUGUGGCUGCCAAGCGUUUAUAGCGACGUAGCUUUUUGAUCCUUCGAUGUCGGCCCUUCCUAUCACUGCCUCGCAGCGGGGGCCAAAUGUAGGAUUGUUCACCCACCAACAGGGAACGUGAGCUGGGGUUAGACCGUCGUGAGACAGGUUAGUUUUACCCUACUGAUGAAUGGUCGUGGCGACAGUAAUCCAAUUUAGUACGAGAGGAACCGUUGGUUCACGCAUUUGGCAAUGCGGUUGAUUGAAACGUCAAUGCCGCGAAGCUACCACGUGCAGGAUUAAGGCUGAACGCCUCUAAGCCCGAAUCCAGGCUGGACAGCCACGAUGUGCGCACUCCGAUGUAGAGACUAAGUAUAGCCUUUGGCCAAGAGUUACCAAGCCGACAAAACGGCGAGCGUUGAUCACAAGUGUACUCAAACAUCGGAAGUGACAAAUCCCUUGUAGACGACUUGACAUGAAAGAGGUAUUGUAAGCUGGAGAGU